rnacentral:rRNA from 1 species
GACAGCAGUCGCCACGGUAAUACGUAGGUCCCGAGCGUUGUCCGGAUUUAUUGGGCGUAAAGCGAGCGCAGGCGGUUAGAUAAGUCUGAAGUUAAAGGCUGUGGCUUAACCAUAGUACGCUUUGGAAACUGUUUAACUUGAGUGCAAGAGGGGAGAGUGGAAUUCCAUGUGUAGCGGUGAAAUGCGUAGAUAUAUGGAGGAACACCGGUGGCGAAAGCGGCUCUCUGGCUUGUAACUGACGCUGAGGCUCGAAAGCGUGGGGAGCAAACAGGAUUAGAUACCCCUGUAGUCCCUGUCUCUUAUACA